AAAUCUUUCUCUUUGGCUGCCUUUCCCUGCCUCUGUGUGUUACUCUUUCUCUCUAUCGCUCUGCAUACUGGCCUCUCACUGUCAUAAACAACCACACCUGUUUCCAUGGUAGCAGCAGGCAGGCUAUAUACUGUGUGCAGUGUCUCUGGUGAGUGAGCGGGAGAAGGCGGGUGGGAUGUAGGGGAGCGAGGGAGGGAGGAUUAUUCGUGCUUCCAUCAGCAUCAACACGGCAGAGGGAGAGAGGAGAGGGGAGAGAUGCGGUGUCUUCCUGCGCGGCACAGAAGGAGGAGGAAGAGGAGGAGGAGGAGGAGGAGGAGGAGGCGGGUCCUCCCAUCGCUCUGUAUGCAAAUCAACAGGAUCCUAGAGCACACGUGUCACGUGACCACGCCAGGGGAGGCAGGGCCCUGCACAGCACUGAGCUGGAGUGAGAGGGGCUGUGUCAGCUCAGCAAUGAUGUCAUGAUUUAUUUUGAGGAAGUGAUGUCAGGCCUCUGCAGUGAGACUGGUGGUGUCUACAGUGGUUCGGUAGCUGGAUGGCGCUAAUUUCUGGAAUCCCAGUCGAUUCAGUUACAGCACAACAAGUGCUGCCUAAAGGAACAUUAUUACCCUCAGAACAGGACAUAUGUUUAUAUUUGCAUUUGUAAAGAUAAAACAUAGACAAGUGAUUCUAGAGAAUGUUCAUAUUGUUUUCCAACUUUCAGUUACGUAACACAUCACCUACAUUAAAUCCAUUCAUUUUUAAGUGAUUAAUUGUCUUCAAGAAGAUUUUACAUGCAAUAAACUGGGCAUAAUUUGAAACAAAUAUUGCUGCUCAGUUUAUUUUAUGCCCUCAGAAACUUUGUGUUCUGAUAAUGAGAAUGAAAGGACUGAACCACAGUCUGCUGUGUUUAAAUAAGAACUACAAAAAUUAAACAUGCCUUCUCUGUCCUGUGUUGGUGUGAGUGGCUGCAGCCCCUCCCAGUAGCAGCAAUAGCUGAAGUGUUAUUCAGUAGCAUCAACUGGUGUUUGUGUUCGUGAGCGGAUCCACAGAGCGUCUGCACGUCUGUGUGUGAGCUCGAGAGAGCGCUGCCACUGUGUUGACUAUUGACUCAGCUAAGGAUCACAGUGACAACAACAGAGGCAAGAGCUCAGCUCAGCUCAGAGCAUUUUACACAUGCAGUGGUUCAUUUCAUGUAAGUAGAAAAUAUGUUGCUUAGCUGCCUUUCAGCUGUUUUAUUCCUUUUACACAGCAACAGGAAUAAACUACGUAUUAAUAACAUGACAGCUGCGUGUUAUGAAUGCGGGGCUCUUACUUUCAUCUCAAUGAUGGUCUGCAGGGCCUUGGUCUUGCUCGGAUCCUGAUGCAGCUGAUUCCGUCUGUGCAGCUCCUUGAGAAACAUAAACAGAGUGAUGUUUAACAGAAGGUGGAUGUUCUCCUUUUCCUUUUGAUCCAGAAUGACCUCCAGGUGUCCGAGCUGGGCCUCAGCCUCGGCAAUGCGCCUGGCUCGCUCCUGCUCCUCCUCCUCAGACGCCCUGCCGGGCCCCGAGGGCAGCCCCUUGCUCUGCAGCAUCUCCAGCAGCUUCUUAAUGGACUCGUCCCUGGCGCCCAGGGUCUGUUUCUGGGUCUCGAUCCUCAGCUCCAUCUCUUCCAGUGUCUUCCUGAGCAGGAACAGCUCCUUGGCCUGCCUGUCAUGUUCCGCCUGCAGCCGGCGAAAGUUCUCCUCCGUCAGCUCGAUGGUGGUGAAGUGCUCGGCGCCGGACCGGUUCCCACUCUCCUGCUGCAGCAGGUGGUUCAGGUCUCGUUGUGUGCGCAGCUCGUCCUGCAGGGCCUGGAUAGUCAUCUGCAGAUGCUGGUGGAAGCACACACAUGUGUACACAGAGACACUUAACAAUUACUAAAAAUCAUUCUUUGAGUUUUACACAAUAUGACUACACACAGGUAACCACGCAUUAACAAACACUGCUGAAAUGCUGUUGCACACGGUUCUGUGGAAAAAUACUACAGCAUGUCAAACAAGCAGAACACUUGACUUACCUGACAUCUUUAUGUAUACACUGUAAAACAGUGAUACUUGCACAGCUUUUUUAUCUGUGAGAAUAUUUUCAGUAAUAGUGAAAUUCUUGGUUAUUAAUUUAAGUCCUCUAGGAACUGAAUUUAUUUAUGACUGUUGUCCUGUUUGAGCAGGGUUUCGUUGACCUGCUACCCAAAGCAGAAGAUUGUCCUGUUCCUUUCCUGCAACCGACAGUUAAAGCUGUCAAGCGAAUAAUAAUAAUUGCUAAUGUAUUUUUAUAAAGGUGUGAAUUUGUCUGUGUGUCCAGAAAAAAAGGAAAGCACACACUAUUAAACCCUUACGUUUGA